CUGAACCAGCCAAGUAGCGUGAAGGAUGAAGGCUCUAUGGGUCGUAAACUUCUUUUAUAUAAGAAUAAAGUGCAGUAUGUAUACUGUUUUGUAUGUAUUAUAUGAAUAAGGAUCGGCUAACUCCGUGCCAGCAGCCGCGGUAAUACGGAGGAUCGGAGCGUUAUCCGGAUUUAUUGGGUUUAAAGGGAGCGUAGGUGGACUGGUAAGUCAGUUGUGAAAGUUUGCGG
rnacentral:rRNA from 1 species